UGGAAGACCCAACUCCGAGCGCCGGUACCGCGUCAGGAAUGAAUAAAUAUGACGGCUUCUGGCUUACAUGUGUGUUUGUAAGGAGCGUGUCCCUGUGAUGUGUCCUUUCGUGCUGGCAGCUGCUGAGAGUCGAGUGAUAAGCGCACCUUUUGUUAUUUCUUUUUUUUUUUUCCCCGUGAGCAUAGAGCAACCAUCAACGCGGUUUUUUUAAUUCAUAACUGUACUUCAUGAGCAGUGUAAAAUGGAUUUUUGCAAUACAUCAGCAUUCUCAGAGUACUGUAUGAUAAGCUGUGUGUAUGGAUGUAUAGUGUGCCUGAAAUUCCAGUAGGAAUAUGCAAGGAGAACAGAAAUGAACAAAUGUGCAUACAAUCCCAUUUUAGAAAGGCAUUGAUCCAUUCUUAGAAUGGAAGAUGAAGCAAAGUAUACAUGUGCUUUGAGUAGCAAUGUAUAUAAUCAAAAGUAUGAGUAAUUGGGUUAGUAAUCAGGAUUUAACUGUUUUCUUAUAGAAAGAUAAGGGAAUAGUUUAGUGUUCUCUAAAAAGAUACCGUGAAUGCUAAUUUCUCUCAUUACAUCAGCUGCUUGAAUGCUGUAACUCAUGCAGAAGUUUCUUUAUUGGGCAAAAAUUAUGUUUUGCAGUAUACUGUACCAAAGUAUUGUGAACUUUGGAACAGAUUAUUCAUAGCAAGAUAGUAUUUGGCAGACUUGAUUAAGGUAUUGGUUCAUCAAGCUUAUUAUUCUACCACCAGCAGCAUCCUUUUCCUGAUGCUUUAGUCAAGCAUGAUAUCAGAUGAACUGAAGUAAAUCAUGAUGUUGGAUAUGCCACUGAUAACACAAAACUGUUUAGUUUACUGACUGAAAAUUUUGACAUACUGUGGUAACUAGGAGAACAUUUUGCAGGGGGGAAAAACCCAACUCUGCUCAUCUGUAAAAAUAAUUUAGUUCUUUUAGGAAGGAUAUUCUAGAAUAGCUGUGGUUGCAUACAGAUUGGUGUCUAUGUGCUUAUUUUCAUGAGCAAAUCAAAGCCAGAAAUGAGCUGUACUGAACUGACUAAUUUUCUCCUUUCUCCUAUAUGAAGCUAAAGGAUUAGCCUUAAAGUAAUAAUGUUCUCUUGCACUGUGGAAGGAUUGCAACUGCUUUGGUGACAGUCAAUGAAUGAAUUUCUGGGGAUGUAGGGAGGAUGAAGCAGGGCUGUGUGUACAGCUUCAUUAUUAAGAAAGUCAGGCUGUCCCCUCUCUGUUACUAUAAUUUUCAGCAGUUCCAUAGUUUCCAGCCUCAUGCUAUGUUUUCAAAACUACUAACUUGCCAGAGUCGGAUCCUACAUAAUAUUGAACAAUUUCUGGAGGUUCUUAAUGUUCUUAUCUUCUGUUUAGAACAGGGAACUCUCAGAACCCACAAGAAUUCUUAGGGUUUAAGAGCAGCAUGGAUUAUUAGGAUUAUCUAAUAUGCUACCAUACAUGACAGAUGAUAGAACAUCAUACUGGGACAAAAUGUCUUGCUUCCAAUUGCUCUCUAUCUGUCAGGUUGGUGACGUACUCACAAAAGGACAACAGUUGUCCAAACCCAGAGCAAUGUUUGUCAGAGGCUCCAGCUGAGAAUGCUUACCACGAUGUUACAAAACCUGACAGGGACAGGAGGAAUGCCUACCUAUGAAGAUAGACUUUUUCAGAAAUUGUGUUUAUAAGCAAGUAAUCUUUUUCAUAGUCACAAUAAAAUUGCUCUAUCAGUCUUUGUCCUUGAGAAUCCUGAAGUUGCAAUUGCUUUGGACAUUGAGUAAACAAGCAGUGCAGAAGGAUACUUGUGCCAAGGACAGGUAGAAGAAAUUAGAUGCAAAUAUUUGCACUUCAGAUGUCAUUCAGCCAGGAGGAAGGUUUCUCUAGAAACUACACGGGUUCUGGAGUGAGAUGUCUAUUUGCAUGUUAAAGAAAUAAACAAAAAAGCAAAACCUAUAGUAAUGUCAAGCAUAUAACUUUUUUUUGUAAUGAUCGUUUCAUUAGGUAAAAAUCUCAAAGCUUCAAUAGUCCUAUUAUUUAAAAAUUUUAUAAACCAGAUGUUUAUCUUUAAAUAGAAAUGUGUCAAUUUUGUAAUGUUGUUAAAGUAUUGAUUUAUAGUGAUGUAAAAUUAUAAUGUGAGUAUUUGGUCUCAUUUUUUCUUUACUGGAAUAAAAGAUAAGGCACAACAGUUCAGAAGAUCAAACAGAUUAUAAUGUUACUACACCAGAACAUCAGUAAAUAAAAUUAUAAUGUCUGAUCAUAAGACCCUGCACACUUACAGAUUAUCUGUUUUUUGAUUAAAAGAAUAAAAUUAGUUUCCAUUUUACCAUUUCUUGUGAAAGGGAGGUGUUAGGCCCACAAGUAUUCAAACUUAUAAAAGUGCAUGAAGUUCAUCUCCCAUUUAACACCAAUGAAGUCCUUUUUACAUUCUUACAGUUGCUUCAUUGUUCUAGCUGAAUUCAACCACUAUGAGGUCUUUUGAGAAAAAAAGACAGUGCUUUGUUCAGAAGGCGACUGAAAAGUGCAUUACUACUUUAAAUAGUGCAAUUUGUGCCAGUUGAAAUAGAAGCUAAAAUAUGCCUGAAAACCGGGAGGUUAUUUUGUCCCCAUUCCUACACACACUCUUGUGGCUGAUCAGCAUUUUGAAUACCUAGUGAGGUAGAUGCUGCUCUGGCACACUCAGGAUAUGGGAUAUGCACUGGCAAAGCCGAGUUCUCCAUUGCCUUCUUUUAUGUGGAGUUGAUGAAAUAGCUACUUUUCAUAAAAUCAACCAUUCAGAGUCUUGUCACAGUGAACAGAAAGUCAAAUCUGACUUAGCGGGCUAGUUGGAUUGUGCUAACUGAUCCACAGAAGGUUGUGACUCUUUGUUUGUGGAUUGCUUUUCUUCUAAAUGCUAAAAUGUGCAUCUUGCUUAUAGUAUCAGAGCAUGGAGAGCAAGACCAAAAGUCUGAAGCAAGUUCUAACCCUUGAGAUGCUUGUUACCAUCUGCUGCUGCAAUGAGUACAGCACUACUGCAGAACAGGCUGCCUGGCAUGUCGUGUGGUAGGAAAAGGCAUUUAGACAAGAAAUAAGUGAAAUUUAAUCUACUUGGGAAAAAUAAAUUCCCAGUUCUUGAGCAUGAAGUAGAAGCUCUGUUAAAUAUGCUGUCCACUAUGGGCAGUAAAUUAAAAUUUAAUGGAGAUUUUCCUGUUACAGAAAAAAAAAAUCCAAAAACCAAAAAACAAAAAAAUCAAAACAACAAAAGCCAAGAAAGAGCAAGAUUCAGAUUGCCUGGCAUGAUAGGAACUGGAGAAAAAUAAACACUGAUAAACGGAAUGCCUUUAAAUAGCCAAAAAACACCAUAAAAGCCUAAAACUUUAAGAAUGCAAAGGAAAUUUACUUAUUUAUUCAGAAAUUACUUCUCUUAUACCAAAAUAGCAUUUAGACAAUAGUUUAGAUUAGAAACAGUUAACCCAGAUUGUUCUGUUUCUCUCAUUAUAUCAGGUGCUGCUACAUCAGAAGAUGUCAUUUUCAUGUUGGUUUCUCCCAGAUUUCAAUUGUGCUUCUAGUUGUAAAAUGGUAAACACCCAUAACUAGAGGCUUACCUAGCAUUAUGCCUUAUAAGAAAAAUAUUGUGAAGGAAAUAUGUUGCUUUAUAUUUCUGACAGAACUCUCUGCGUACUUUUCUUUCAUUGUUGCCAUUUACUACUUUCCAUUUGUUGUGAUUCAGUCAUUUAGAGAAGAGUUGGGGGGUUUUGUUCUUUUGGUUGUUCUUUUGGUUGGUCUUUUUUAAGGUUAGUGAUUUUAAACCAAUAAAAACUAAUGAAGAUAUGCAGAAUAAAUAUGAUGCAAAUUUAAAUUUAUGAAGAUAAUCUGAUUUCAUGUUGAUAGUACUUCUAUAAAUUUUGACCUACCAUGAUGAUGUGUUUUCACUUACAGAAAUAAUUGUUAUUAUUUUGAUAAUAUGUUGUACAUAAUUUAGAAAACAAUUUCAUACGCUAUUUAUUUUUUCACAUUUUUUUUAUGCCAAGGAAUCUUAACCCCUAUGCUAUUUGCGGCAAAAUUCUGGAUAAUUUGCAGUACCUUAAUUGUUCUGUGCUAACACGUGUCAUUGCCUUUACAGAGUCACCUGGGAAAAAAAAGUAUCACUGGACAAACAUUUAAAUAAUUUCAAAUUUCACUGGCUAGGAAGGGGACAGUGACGCAGGCACUCUUAAGCCUAAAUCAAGAACUCACACCCUAAGGUGCUGGGGAUAACAGCAUGCUGGAAAAUGGAAAACUGCCAGUCUGGUGACUUUUUCAUGGUUUGCCCAGAACUGAUGGCAAUUGCUAGAUGAGAAGAAACACAUGAGAGGAAAAGAAGGAUGGCUGCCAACACUAAAAGUCACUGUUGCUCUUUCUUCUUCAGCGAAGACAAGAAGCCAAUGCUCCAGCCAUAAGCAGGAAGGGGUUGGUGGAGGAUUAAGGAGCAGUGACAGAUACUUGGCCUCUGGAAGAGGUUGAGAAUGUCUGAGUGAAAAGAUGGUCCUUGAAUGCAGAUCUCCAAAACUGAACGAAAAUAAGUAUUAAAAACACAUGAAGGGGGGGAAAAAAGGAGGUGGAGAGAGGAAUAGGUCAGAAAGAAGAAAUUGCAGCAUGAUAAAAGAAAAGGUGGGGGUGAACAAUGGAGCCAGAGACCUAUGAAAAUAAAUGAAAAUAAUGAAGGAAAAACACCAGCUGCUGUUUCAGUGAGCUGAAGCAAGUAAAUAAGAUGAAAUCUGGGAGAAAGUCACAGAGAAUAAACACGGAAGGCUACAAACCUCAUUGCAGCUCACAGCUUUCCCAGUGUGCGGAAUGACUAACUCCACCAUCUCAUCCAACUUGUGAAAUAUUCAAAAUACCAUUAGUUAAUUUUGUAACCUCCUCCCUGGAAAUGCAGUACACUUUUUAUACCACUGAAGAUGUGCCUCACAAGUGGAAAUAGUGGUUAAUUUGACUAGUUAUUAACUGUUGAGCCCAACUGUUCCAUCAGUAACCACCUUGAAAAGGAAGACCAGUAAAUGUGAUGGCAGUGGAACAUUAGUGUGUAAAACAGUGAUCAUUCUGUAGAGGUUAAAUGGAAAUGGCAAAACAUCUAUGCUGGCUCUUGCCCACUCUGAGCUUGUGCAGUAUCUAAAGUCAGUCUCCAAAUGUUACAUACAAGAAUGAAGUCAAGAUAAAAGAUUUGAGCCUCUCCCUGAUCUGAUCUCUCAUGAAAAGGAGAGGACAGUUUAGGAAUAGCAUCAAAUGUUGAUGAACACAGAAUAUAAGCAGGGACUGAUAUAUUUUAUUUAUAAACACAGUAUAGAAAACAACCCCCAAUUUCCUGGAGUUCUUGGCUUCUUGCUAGGACUCUUUUCCCUUUUAGUAUUCAGUAUGGAUUAUGUUCAAAGUAAAUUCCUCUGUUAAAUGUCAGCAAAUCCAAUAAAUGCAUUAGCAUCUUAUCUAAGCAGAUUGUUCCAAGUGCUUUUACAAUGGUUAGUACAUUUUAUAUGCAGCAAAAAUCUUUAGCAAUAUCUGUUUUCCUUAGUUUCCUGUUAAUUUGGCAAGGACUGGCACACCAGGCUUCAUCACAGACCAAGACUGCAUCAGGCAGGAUGAACUCCUGAUGAACAUUGACCACUGAGACUAAUAAUACCUAGUUAUGGCAAAAGUUUCUCCUGUGUGGGCACUCGCAAUUCUCCUCAAAGCAGAUUGUGAGAAUAUUUGCAAUAUUUGCAGCAGCUUUUGUCUCUCCCUGUAAACUGGUGAAGCCCCCACCAAAAUGCAAAUGAAAAUGCUGCUUUAGUCAUACCACCAAGGUCUCAUAGUUUCUGCUUCCAAUUUUAAUAGAAAGAUUGUUAAAAAAAAAAAAAACAAAAACCCUAAACACAUCAAUAACCAAACCACCAAGACAAACUAACUCAGGGUACGAACUUAGACUCAGCUGUUGCCAGACAGAAUUCCUUUUAUCAGAACUUUAUCCCAAAUUUUCAAAGUCUAACAGUCCACAUCUGCCUCCAGCAGGCAGCAGGAGAUUCUGGCAAAUUCAGUUAUGAGUCUGGGCCAGCAAGAGGUUUCUGCUCAUUUGUAAAGUACAAUUUGAGUUGCAGUUAGAUUUUUGUGUUGUGAGGGUUUCACAGAAUGCAGUGCAGAUGAAACAUUUGAGUUAGCAAAAUGACAGUCCAGAGUUUGCAAUGCAAAAUUAGACCAGAUAAAAUUGUAGAGGGAGCAUUUUAAAGAGAAAGAUAAGCAAAUGUCACAUUGGGGUUAGGGUCCUCAGGAAGUUAGAAGUGAAAUUCAGUGGCUUCAAGGGUCUUUGGAAAAUGGUAGCUUAUUCCUUGGACAAUGCAGUAACACACCAGCUGGUAGGGAGGGGUGAUGCCAGAUGCUUCAAUGUGUGCAGUGAGGUGGGGGGGGAGAAGAUGAAGUAAAAGGAAUUUUCUCCAAUCUAAUAGGCAGCUAGAGGAAAAUUAUUUCAGGAAUCAAAAGCAUAAGGAGAAAAAAUACAGUGGCCCAGCAUACUGAAAACUGAAGAUGAAUGUAGAGCUCUCUUGUCUCCCAAAGACAGACAUAAUUUUCUCUUAUUGGGAAUUCUAUUGUUCAUGGCCAUCUCCAAGACACAGGAGGAUCAUGGCUCUGGAAUCUCACAAAGUUACAGCCAGACAACCAUUUCCCCAGAAAGUGACAGAGGAAAAAGAUUUGUAGCACUGGCAAGAGUGUUUCUAAAAGAGAAAAAUCUGCUUUGAAGAUGUUGUACACAAUCAUGUAAAGUCUCAAGCUGGAACUGAUGUAAAUCUCACAUGGAGAAAGAGGGAUGACAGAGCUGGUGUGGGACUUGCAGCCAGCUGUGGACCACCCCAAGAAGACUGUUUUUCACUUCCACAUUAACUUCACAAUAUGCAGUUUUCAGUCCUGUUGAUGUUGAUACAUCCUUCUGUUUCUAGUAGCUGCCUGUGCACAGUAUGUAUUGUGGUAGAGGAAUAAUGAAUCAGAGAAUGCUUUCUCAUGAGACUAAGCUAAGCAAGAUGCCUGUCUGGUGGUAGCCAGCUUCUUUACUAAUAAAAAAUUCAAACCAUUACAUCUUCUUCACUCUAGGGCUGGCUCCAGCACUCAGUCAGCCUCUUCCUCACAGAAAGCUGACAGUUAGACCAAUUUUAAAGCAUAAAAAUCUCCUCAUCUUGUCUUCUUCUUUCCCAAAAGAAGCUGAACUGAGCUUAAAAAACUAAAACCACGUAACCUAAACCCAUAGUUUUAAGACGUACUUGUCCCCAGACAGGUACCUGAUAAAGCAGCAUUUUAAACCACUUUUCCCUGGCAUUCUUUUCACCUAUUACUCUUGACCUGUAAAUCAGCUCUCAGGAGCAAUGUAGUGACUGAAGCAACAAGUCCUGAGCCCUUUGUCGGACAAACACAACUGAAGGGACAGCUGAGAACAUGCUUUGUAGAGGUAGAGGCAGCAAUACUGAAAGCAUUCAUUGCCUUAGCAACUAGGACAACCUCUUCUUUAAUUAGAACAUCAUGGUCUGAACUUUGCUAAUAGAACCUGCCCACACUGCAUGCUAACCAUGGGUUAGGUAAUCUCGCGCUUGCCAACACAGGCAGCCUACCACGCUUCUGCUUCCUGACAUUCUCCACAUGAGCACCCUGUUCUCAGGUCCCACAUCUGCAGGCAGGCUGUGGGUGGUGUUAAUGAAUGAUACAUCCUUGUGGUUUCUCACCCUGGACUCAUGAUCUCCUAUCCCAUCACAUAUUUGUCUGGGCUGGCAGGCACAGGGUGCUAUGGAACAGCUCCUGUGUGCUCUCUUAGGAUUUGGGAGGUUACUGUCCAUGACAAAAGAAUUAUUUCCUGGCAUUAGCUUAGCAGAUAUGGCAGAGAAAUAAGAGGGCUACCUCACUGCCCAAGCAACCCCCCUUGGCCUAUCCUCCCCAGUUCUCUCCCUGCCACCCUCUUUUGGAGUUUCUUCACCUGUGGCAUUACUGAUGACUAUAUGCAAUUUCUAAGAUCCAAUGGCACCAGCAAUUCUGGAAUACACUCUUCCAGAUGAUAUGCCAUAUAGGUUUGUAGUGCAGUUAUUUUCUGUUCCUUCCCUAAAAUUGCAGGGAAAAAAUGCUUAUUAAAAACCUGAUCAAAAGAAAAUAGAUAUCUGGAUGAAAACAAGCUUUGAGGGGAAAAAAUUAGGGUUUACAAAGUCAUUGUCGUAGCUCUGACUACCGCUCAUUGAAAUUUGUAUCAACAUAGCAAUAGUAGCACUAAGUUAAGAGCAGAAAGUGAAACUGGUCUGAGUUAACACUGCUCAAAUAUUCUGGGCUGAAUUCUGUACUGCCAUUGGCAUUAGAGAAGGAGGGUCCAAAGCUAGCAUGGGUCUGUGUAUGGGAAAUCCUACCAAAGAAGUAGAACAUAUCAUGCUCUGAGACAACAGGUCUCACUAAGUGGGAAAAAUACAGCAUUCAACAGAAGAGAAAACUACAUUUUGAUUGUUUAAAAUGCUUUAUUUAAUAACACUCUGAACUAAGGAAGCAAACUCUUCUCUUUUUUCUCCUGCUAUAUUUAAUUAAUCCUGGGAUUUAGGGAAAGAACACAAGAUCUUAUGCUGGGUUUGGAACGCCUGCUCAGCAAAGCAGUGAAUGACACUACUUGUGGGAUCACCUUCAGGGUACUUUCACCCACGAUUUCUGUAAAACUGCACGACAAGAUGUUUCUUAAUUAAAAUAUUUACAUGUUAAAAAUGUUGAAGGAGAGGUUUUCACAAUAAUGUGGGGAUGGCUUCUGUAGAUAUUUAUUUAGGGUUUUGGUGUGGUAUGUUUUGUUUGUUUCUAAUGUUGAACAAGAUAAGCAGAAAGAGAAAGCUGCUGCAUCCUACAAAAGCAGAGAUACGUAUUCAAGAUACCAGAUAUUCCUUAUAAAGGUACACUCUUAGAAGCAAGAAAUUGCACCUCAAAAUCAGUAAAUUCUCUGUGCACACAAGCAUACCAUACAGCAUCAAUCACACAUAAAAUAUCAACCUUGCUUUAUCAAAUGCUUGGAAUGCUUGGAAUGCUGGCAAGAGGAUGCUUUUCUUCUGUUCUUUAAAAUGUCAAACUUUUAACAGAUCAUUGCCCCAACAGAAUCAGCGAUUCAGAGAAGUGCCGUGAUCAAAGACGCCCACCAUUCUUCUGAAGAGGAAUUCAGGAAAUGCAAGUUCAGCUAGUGUAUAGAACUAUCACCUCUUUGCUCUGGUUAUGUGCAUCUUUAAAUUAGCCAUUAGAUAAUUCUGCCACUUCACUGAACUUUCUGCAUUGAGGAUAUUUAUUCUUCCUUGUCCAGGAGGAAUGACUUUAGUGGUAGUUAUGGAAAUAAAAGAGACAAUAAAGCUCCCAUGCAAAUCUUA